UACGUAGGGGGCUAGCGUUGUCCGGAAUCAUUGGGCGUAAAGCGCGUGUAGGCGGCCCGGUAAGUCCGCUGUGAAAGUCGGGGGCUCAACCCUCGGAUGCCGGUGGAUACUGUCGGGCUCGAGUACGGAAGAGGCGAGUGGAAUUCCUGGUGUAGCGGUGAAAUGCGUAGAUAUCUGGAGGAACACCGGUGGCGAAGGCGGCAUCCUGGACCGACACUGACGCUGAGGAGCGAAAGCGUGGGGAGCGAACAGG
rnacentral:rRNA from 1 species